AAUAAUUUAAAGUGUUUAAUUCGAAUUCUAUAUUCAAGUUCUUAGAAAACUCGAAUCAUUCAAUUCGAAGUUAAAAAAUUUAAUCUGCUUUUUUUGGUUGAAGUUGAUUCCAAAGCUUCUUAGAGGCAACACACCAUCAAAGAAAUCACCAAAGUAUCCAGGUGAUCAUGCCAUGCCACUCAACACUGGUGAUCUCAUUUCGUGUUCCUCCAAGUGCUUUUUAACUGCUAUUAGUGAAUUGUUGCAGCAUAAUUUCAUCACUGGCCUGUAAUGUAAUCAAGGUAGAUCUCCGGUGCAGUGAAAAAGGAACUAUAUAUCUCUAAGGCUUAUGUUACCGAUAACAUUUUUCCUUCACCGUCAACAACUGGUUACUGAUUUUGCUGCCAAGUGCCUACACGAACGUAAAUUCAUGAUCAAUGUUCGGUCCAAGCAACAGAAGCAGAGAAAGAAAAGAUUUAAUUGAAGCAUACGUAGGGAGUUUUUAGCAGUAAAGAUUUGUGUGCUGGCAUGGAGGGCCCAUUGUUAGACUUAAGCUUUAUAUCAGUGUGAAUUUGUUCCUUGAAAGCCGCUCCAUAAAUCCUCUAAGGAAACUUACUCUUUUUCAAAUCAUCUUCAAUAUCAGUCAAUGGUUUCUUGAGACA